rnacentral:rRNA from 1 species
AUGAACGCUGGCGGCGUGCCUAAUACAUGCAAGUCGAGCGAACAGACGAGGAGCUUGCUCCUCUGACGUUAGCGGCGGACGGGUGAGUAACACGUGGAUAACCUACCUAUAAGACUGGGAUAACUUCGGGAAACCGGAGCUAAUACCGGAUAAUAUAUUGAACCGCAUGGUUCAAUAGUGAAAGACGGUUUUGCUGUCACUUAUAGAUGGAUCCGCGCCGCAUUAGCUAGUUGGUAAGGUAACGGCUUACCAAGGCAACGAUGCGUAGCCGACCUGAGAGGGUGAUCGGCCACACUGGAACUGAGACACGGUCCAGACUCCUACGGGAGGCAGCAGUAGGGAAUCUUCCGCAAUGGGCGAAAGCCUGACGGAGCAACGCCGCGUGAGUGAUGAAGGUCUUCGGAUCGUAAAACUCUGUUAUUAGGGAAGAACAAAUGUGUAAGUAACUAUGCACGUCUUGACGGUAUCUAAUCAGAAAGCCACGGCUAACUACGUG